rnacentral:rRNA from 1 species
CCUACGGGAGGCAGCAGUGGGGGAUAUUGGACAAUGGGGGAAACCCUGAUCCAGCGACGCCGCGUGAGUGAAGAAGUAUUUCGGUAUGUAAAGCUCUAUCAGCAGGGAAGAAAGAAAUGACGGUACCUGAGUAAGAAGCCCCGGCUAACUAUGUGCCAGCAGCCGCGGUAAUACGUAGGGGGCAAGCGUUAUCCGGAAUUACUGGGUGUAAAGGGAGCGUAGACGGUAAUGCAAGUCUGGAGUGAAAGGCGGGGGCCCAACCCCCGGACUGCUCUGGAAACUGUGUAACUGGAGUGCAGGAGAGGCAGGCGGAAUUCCUAGUGUAGCGGUGAAAUGCGUAGAUAUUAGGAGGAACUCCGAUUGCGAAGGCAGCAUACCGGCGCUCAACUGACGCUCAUGCACGAAAGUGUGGGUAUCAAACAGGAUUAGAUACCCCUGUAGUC